AGUGAACGCUGGCGGCAGGCCUAACACAUGCAAGUCGAGCGGCAGCGGGCUGUAGCAAUACAGUGCCGGCGAGCGGCGGACGGGUGAGGAAUACAUCGGAAUCUACCUUGUCGUGGGGGAUAACGUAGGGAAACUUACGCUAAUACCGCAUACGAACUACGGUUGAAAGCGGAGGACCGCAAGGCUUCGCGCGAUUGGAUGAGCCGAUGUCGGAUUAGCUAGUUGGCGGGGUAAUGGCCCACCAAGGCGACGAUCCGUAGCUGGUCUGAGAGGAUGAUCAGCCACACUGGAACUGAGACACGGUCCAGACUCCUACGGGAGGCAGCAGUGGGGAAUAUUGGACAAUGGGCGCAAGCCUGAUCCAGCCAUGCCGCGUGUGUGAAGAAGGCCUUCGGGUUGUAA
rnacentral:rRNA from 1 species